CAGGGAUUGCUUGCACACUCGCUGACAUCUGCAGGUAAAGGUGAAAAUACAGCUGCUUUCAGUUAAAUAUUCAAGCCCAAAGAGCUGUGGUUUAAGAUCAUUCACCAGUCAGUGUUUAGUUCAGAUGUUUCAGCCUGUGAGCUUGGCCUUUGUACCUGCUCAAAUCUAACCACAAUGAAUCACAUCCAAAACACAGCAGCCUCAGGUUUUCUAACCAAAAAAGUAAAGUGAAUCCAUUAUCAAGUUAAGUAAAGCGUUUCUAUUUUUCAUUGCUUUAUUUCAUGAUGAGAAGUGACAGAGUUUUGACUGUGUAAAAAGAAAAUUACAGAAUGUCCAGAACUUUUGCACCAUUUAGGAGUCUUUAAUGAAUAUGAGUUUAUUAACCUUUGUCUUGAUUAGUUUAUUUGACUUGAAGUCUUUUCUCAUACUGAAAACCAGCAUUUCUCCAGUUUGAAGCCUGUUAGUUUAUAUGCUGCUCAAUCUAUAUGAUUGGUUAUUUAAGUCUGAAGGAAGAGGUCAGCCGCACAAAUACCUUCUCUUUGUGGCUAUUUUUUUUUUCAUUAUAGACAAUUCUUACAUUAUAGCCAAUUCUCUACCAGAAAUUAUCCAGGGACCAGAAAUUCAUGCUGAAGAGUUUCUGUCUGGUUGUAAAUUUUAUCUGUAAUUCUGUGAAUUAGUUCUAUGUCAAAUAAAAUGUCUUCAUAUGGUGAGGUAAAGGGGAAUUCUAACAGCAGGAAACAGACAAAGUUUUGCUUCAAAGGAUCAUGACAGCAACUAGAAUCCUAGUCAGUUGUGUGAGAAACCUCUCCAAUAGUUUAAAAUCAGAACCCCAUGUUCUUGUUUUGCAUACAGAUGUAUUUAGAUCAAAGGUGGAAAACUUUUUGGCUCCUCACGUUAGAACAACUUCCUGCUCUGAUAAAAACAGGAAUAAAACUCUUGAGUGGAAGUCAACAGUGCGGUCCUAAAAGUUUUGUCAAAGCACUGACUUGUGAAAAAAAAGUAAAGGGAAAACCACUGUUUAAACACUUAUGAAGGAAUAUGAAACGUCUUACAUGCAUUAGACUGAACUUCAGACUUCAGGGGUAAGAGGAAAAGUGUGACACUCGUAAAGAAAGACAGGGAGGAAAAAAUGAGAGAGCUUCUGUAAGUCUUUCCUGUCUGCCAUCCAUCCAUGGAUGAGGGAUGAGACCAUGCAGUCUGAUAAAUGAUACUCAAAGACUGGUACUGUCAUUAUGGGCACAGCACAUAAGUCAGUGAUGCCCUUUCAUUUGCUCCAUAUGUGGAAAAGUACCAGUUCUACUUGAAAAAUCUUAAGGUUAUUAUUAAAGUGCCAUUUAAUAAAUCCCUUCUACCUCUCUAUAGUCGCUAUGUUAAUAUAUAUUUAAACUAAUGCCAAUGGAUAUUUCAUCCUUUUUUCAAUGAUCUAAAUUUUUGUAAACUCAUUUUCAUCUCUUUUUUUAUGUCAAGCAAUUUUUAAGCCAAUAAAAGACUGAGUAAUUGAAGUUCUAACUAAUUCCAGUUUGAUUGACUUAUCUGGGACACAGAUAAUUAAUGAUCAGGCCCCGACCACCGAAAAUGAUAGGCCUAUUUAAAAUAAACUCUUACGGAAAAAGAAAAACUCCACAAAUUGCACGCUGUUGACCUAAGCAGAAGCUAAGAUCUCCGGCAGUUUCCAAAACACGCACUGGCUAAUGUCGAUAUAAUGAAGCGAGUAGAUAAAUAGUACAUCAGACGUUAUGAUCUCCGUGUCUGCAGUUGGUUCUGAGUGGUGUGCAGAUGUUCUCCGUUGUGCUUAGCUCACUCCAGUGCUGAAGUCAUAGUACAACCAAUCCCUUUAAUAUUUAUUUGGCUUCCCUUGGGGCCACCGUUGAGCCAUAACAUGAAAAAGCUCACUUCACUCUGCUAAAUAUUUUUAAAGUCAUCUUAACUUUGGGGGUUUCAUGGUCUGUCAAUGCUGCUUUUUUUAAGCCUGACUAAAUUUAGCUCUGUUGGAAAAAAUGAACAGGGCAACCUUUUCAUGUAUUCAUGUCAAUAAACAUAUGCACAUGUUAAAGGUUUGAGAGUGCCACCACCGCCUGAGGUGGACUAUCAGGAGCGUGCUUAGCAUAGCUGUGUGUUAUCAGACCAUGGUUUGAGUAUAAUGUCUGGACUUAACUCUGGACUGCUGUCAAGAGCCGUAAGAAACCUGAGCAAAAGAGGGCACAGGGUUUAUCUUACAGUAGCCCGAGCUUUGCUGCUAAUUAGAUGUAGAAACCUGGAGGGGAAUGGACCUCACUGCGGAAUGCAGUACAGGUGUUUGUCUGUGUUCGCAGACAUUUAAUGCCAUUUUAACGAGGGCUUCAUUCAGUAUGCCAAGAAACUGCAGCCCCUCAAAGAAUGGCUCUUUUCUUUGAAUGUUUGUUAUCUCUCUUGCUCUCUCUCCCUCUUUCUUUCUCUUUCUCUCUCUCUGUCUCAUACAUGCUCUCUCUGUCUUUCUCCUUCAUUUGUGGGUGUAUUGGUAAAUAGAAAUCCUUAUUUUUGCACCGUAGAAUAACAAUUACUUUUCAAUUCUACAAUAUUAACUAAUCUGCAUAAGAUAAAGGCAAGGGUUUAAUCUUGUUAUUUUUAAUUGUAUUUAAUUACACCUUUUUCAGUUUUCUCAUUUCUGGCACACUGGUAACAAUGGUUUGCACACACCAGACCCCUGAAUUUAAACUACCAGCUACAAACAAGGGCUACAAUGCGCAAGAAUAAAACAGGUGACAAUUGUCACACACUAAAGCCUUCUCCAUAUCAUGUUUUAAAAAAUUAUUGUCUGGCAUCCUCCUCUUACACCCUGCUUGUGUACUUUUCUGCCACUCCUGACUUCCCCCAUAAAUCACUGUUUGACUCUUGAUAACCAGUUUUAUAAUAUUACAUUUAAAAAUAAUAGACAACAAAACAUUAACCAUGAAUAAACAAGGAUGUAAAGUCGGGGAAAAAAAACUCACCUUUACAGACGGCACUGAUACCUGUCCAGGUACCAUUGUCCUGGCAGACUCUUGUGGCAGAACCAACAAGAUGGUAGCCCUGAGAGCAGGUGAAGUGAACCUCGUGUCCAACUAAAUACUUUGAGCCGAACUUGCUUCCAUAAGCUGGGGCCUCCAGGGAGGGGCAACUGGUGGUAGCUGUGAGGAGGGAAGAAAGACAGAAUGAGAGCAAGACAGGUCCUAUGUGGAGUACUGUAAGACUCCUGAACAUUGUCUUGCAUUCUUUGCCUGAGGGCAUACACAGAGAAAAGACUUCAUGAGGAAGAGAUGCUCCAUUAACAGUCAGUGAAUGGAGGGUCAACUCUUCCUGUGAAGCAGAAUAGCACCAGCAGCUAGGUCUAUGCUAUGGUUCACUAAGUUUCAUGCUUCUGUAGCAUGUAAUGUCAUUAAAUUAUAUAACAUUUUAUUGUAUUUUUAAGUCUGACUUUCUGUUUUCUCCAACUUCACUAAUGCUAUGUUAAAUUACAUUCAAAACAGUGUUUUCAUCUACAGCUUUUUAAAAUUUCCAUUGCCAGAAUCCGGUCACGUCCACUUCAAUUUAGCCUUAAUUAUACAAUUUCUGCCCAUUUCUUUAGAACAACAUUAUAUCCAUGGCAGACCUCCAGCCACAUAAGACAACUGCGGGUAGUAAUGGCAAAUAUUUGCACGAUGGAAAACAGUGUCCACAAGAGCAUGCAAAGCAGGUGGUGAUUGGUCUGCCUGGGGUAACUUGGAGACCGAGUUCUGCAACGCUGCCAACUUCGACUUCAUGAUCCUAAGACCUUCUGUAAAUCGCAUCUCUUGCCCUUUGAGAAAUUUCUCCAUUUGACGAAGAACCCCGACCACCUGGGACUUAUCCAUGCAGGUCUGUGAAUGCAACACAAGCGCUUCAACAUCACGGCAACAUCAAGAGGUAAAACAUCACACUGACUUGUGCUCUUCACACUGUUUUCUCCAAAUGCCAAAACUCCAGUUGUAGGCACAGCUGGACCAAAGCUGUCUGGCAGCUAUGAAAAAGACCCAAGUCCAGAAUGUUGUCCCUGUGUUUAAUUUUGUGUGGUGGUAGAAAAAGGGCAUAAAAUUAAUGUAAAAUCCUAAAAAAUGACUGAGUCAAUAACAGCACGAGUGCCACUGGCAGUAACUGCAGGGAGAAAUGCAUUAGAAAGUUCUUCAGAGAAUGGGCCUCGAUAAUCCUUUCAGCAAGGUUUAUUAAUCACAUGCUCAAUGGAACAUUUUCCUUUGUUAGGCAUACCUUAAAUUCCUGUACUGGCAUUUUGAGGGUUUUUUUUCCACAACACAAGUUUCACUACAUUGUACUCAGUUCUGUUCAACUGCCUUAGGCAGAAGGGAAAUGCCACCAACUGACCAAACAUGAAAGAAUUCAAUAAAGCAGUGGUUUACACUAUAUACCAUCACCAAAAAAACACUGACUCUACAAGUGCCAGUAUGACUAACACUAACAUACAAGCAGCACAGGCUUACUCUGUAAGGCUAAACAUAGAGAAGGAAGAAGAUCAUUUAUUCUUAAUAGGGUCAUAACUCUAGCCUUUAUAUCAGUCAAAGCCACACUGUACAAUGAGACAAAGAAAAUCAAUACAACAAAAUUGAACAAUUUUGACAAAUGUCAAAUGUGUGCCCAGAUUUAAAUGGAAAAGUUAAUUUAAUUGCAAAAACACAUUUCUUUUUUUUUUUUUUUUUUCCAAAGUUGAUGUCAGACCUUAGAGGAGGCAAAGAAGCAGGAUGAAACCAGGUGCUAAAGACAUCUCCUAGAAUAAAUUAUCUGACGGAAAGAUUACUUGCAGAAGUGUUUAGACACUUGGGUUAUAUAGAGAGAUAAAGCUGUAGUAUUAUCCAUGAAUAAAUACAUUUAUUUGUCUCAGAACCUUUUUAAUUUCCCUUGUGCAACCUCUAUAUUUUACUAUUAACUCAGGGAAUCACUUGAUUCUGACAGGAAUCAGCUUCCAUGCAUACCACUGGAGGCAGCAAACGUACCACUUGUGAUACAUGUACCAUACUUUGAGAACCACUGAAUUUGUAACUCUAUGUAAUGACCAUUAAACUCACAAGCCUAGAUGAUGAACUGGUGCAUCACAAAAGUCUAAGUGAACGUAUGAUUAUUUAUAUAUGAAAUACAUGUUAACAAGCAGAUAUGGUUAUAGUCCAGCUAAAUGAAUUUUGAUGCAGUCAAACACUUAAAUGUCACAGUUUCCUUACUAUUAAAUGUCGCUGGACAAAGUGUCAACUAAAA